UGCAUUCUGCUGUAAUGAAAUGAAUCAUAAAAUAUGUUUUAGAAGAAAAUUACUAUAAAAAGUUUCAAAAUUGUUAUUUAAAAAGGACCCCGCCAACACGCAUAUUGACCCAAGGAAUCUUCGGGAUGGACUCUGCUUCUGAUCACAUCUUCACCUGCUCGAGGAUCACCUGUGGCACGUCGGGCUCUGAAUGCAAGCCCCAGGACACCCCAUUUCAUGCGUCUGCAUUCUUAACCUCACUGCGCAUUAACAUGCAUCUCAAUGCAUCCAAAAUACCGCACCCCCAUCACAUCAGAGAGCAUUAAAAAUAAGCCAGCUCAAUGCACAAAAAUGAGGGCGACAAUCGGAAACACAAUGAUGUUUCUAAAGAAUGUCCAACCUUAACUGCA
rnacentral:lncRNA from 1 species